AGCAAAAAGAUGAGAGUUGGAGAUCUGAUGCUGAUGUGGAUAAUUCUUUACCAUUGUCUUCAAAGUUCUCUGAUUGCU